UUUACUUUUGAGCCUGUUUGAUUUUUGUGGUUGUUCUUUCGUAUUUUGUAUGAUAUUUUGAUUUUUAGCUUACACAUGGAUGGAUGCAAAAUGUGAUCUCUCAUUAUAGCCGGCAUAUGGACAGGCAAUGUUUUAGCUCCUCUCUUUAAAUUUGUUAUUAUGAUAUACACUGAAAUCACAUUGCGAUCUUCUACAAUAUACAGAAGAAAGGAGUCAAAGGACAAAUCGAUCAUUGAUUUUGAUGAGUUGCAGAGUAAUCCAAGGAGGACCUAUGGCCCAAUCCUCCCACUUUCUCGAGAAUGCAAGUGACCAUUUUUCCCAAACCGAUGGACCUCUUUGAUGGGCAUGGAGUUGACAAAAGAGCUAUGCCAGGUGACAACUGCUGAUAACAAAUAAUGACCAAUGGCCAACCAUUCUGCACUAGGACAAGCAAGUAUUUCCAAACCAGCCACUUUGAAGCAACUAUAGAUGGUGAUGAAGCUCAAAAGAACCAAAAUUCUUUUUCUUGCUAGUUGUUUUAUUACUGAUAUUUGCUUUUAUAUAAAUAAUUAAACAAAUCAAAGUUUUCAAGAACUUCAAACCCAAUCACCAAAUCUUGUAAAACAGUACUAUGAACUGAUUCAAAGAAAAUGAUUUGCUUAAAGUGAGAAGUUACUGAAAAUUUUAAAAAAAGAAAAAGAAAAAAGACAAGAGUCAAAAAAGUACAUGCCUGGCAUUAAGGAAAAGGGUUUAAUUGUGCAUUAUCAUCCAAGAUCAUCUGACCGUGCGGAAACAUAGCAAGACUCAGAAUCUUCUUGUCAAAGAGAACAAAACAAGUUAGGUGAAAAACGACACCGGCCCAUUUGCCUUAAUAUAUGUAGUUGGUAUGUGCAUACUGCUCCCUGGUUAAUUGUUUUGAGAGACCAGUCCUAAUUAGACCCCUGUCGUCAAGUUGGACCUCCUAAGCUCCAAAAAUGAACAGCUUCAUGAAUUAAUAUAUUACACCGUCAACUUGAAGCAUCGUGCCUAGUUGAAUACUUUAUUGACAAUUGUUCCAGAUGCUGAUAGUUAAAUUGCUUAGCUUCAUAGGGUAGAUGAUACUCACCUUUCAUAUUCCACUGUUCCAGAUGCUCCUCUCUUUCCCUCUCUUUUCAAUUAUUGACAAUGGAAUUUUCCAUUAUCAUAAAAAUUACGAGGACUUGGUCCAUUACCUCACUAAAAUAAUGUAAGAAUCCUGGAAGACUUGCACCACCCAAAAAUCACUGUGAGUGGUAUGCUGCAUGAGAUAGUUUCCGGUGUUUCUAAAUAUUAUUGUGACAUAAUUUAUAAGAAUCCUAUUGGGAAACUCUCUCAUGAUUAGGCUAGUAAGCUGGAUAGAGGUCAGGAAGAGACUAAAAUAUGGUCAAAAGUCUUUUAUUUAUUCCGUAUUCUUUUGUGUUUAAGUCCUAUAAAUAUUAAAUAGGUUCCUUAGUUUGUAUCACUAGCUGCAUAAAGGGAAGAUAGUUGAAUUCGCCUUGUGUUUCCUCCCCUUUCUUUUGUUUCUUUUCGCUAGCUGCUAUGAAGGUAAUGUCCCAGCCCUAUAUAUGCUGCCUCUAUGUUAUACUAACAUGAAUGCAUUUAAUGUCAUUUUUUUGUGUUUGCAUGCCACAUGCCAUACGUAUACCACAGAAAAUUGUGUUGAAAGUAUGUAUCAACUGCCAGAAGUGCAAGAGAGAUUUGCUGAGAGUUGUCACCAAGUUUACUGGUAUAGACGAGAUAGCUGUGGAUAUUGAGAAAGGGACAUUAACGGUUGUGGGGACUGUCGACCCGGCGUGUCUCACUAAGAAAAUCAGGAAAAGUGGAAAGAUGGCAGAAAUUAUCAGUGUUGGACCUCCCAAGCCUCCUGAAAAGAAGGAGCCCUCCAAGACUGAACCCAAGCCACUCCCUGCUUGUUGUAAUAAUUGCCAAGUUGCUGUGGGCGCGGCCUUCAUUUCGAAUGAGAACAUUUUCUGCUCCAUUCUUUAAGUGGGUGUUCCUCAGUCCUCUGCUAUGGUUACCAUCAGUUU